AACAAGGCCCCCUUGAGGGGGCCU
rnacentral:sRNA from 1 species